UUGUAGGGUUUGAUCCUGGCUCAGAACGAACGCUGGCGGCGUGGAUGAGGCAUGCAAGUCGAGCGAGAAAGGGUUCUUCGGAACCCGAGUAAAGCGGCGAACGGGUGAGUAGUACCUAGGUAACCUGCCCUGAAGACCGGGAUAACGUCUGGAAACGGGCGCUAAUACCGGAUGUGGCGGCGGCACCGCAUGGCGCCGCCGUCAAAGGGAGCCUCUGCAUGCAAGCUUCCGCUUCAGGAGGGGCCUCGGGCCUAUCAGGUUGUUGGCGGGGUAACGGCCCACCAAGGCUGUGACGGGUAGCGGGUCUGAGAGGAUGGCCGGCCACACUCGGGACUGAGACACUGCCCGGACUCCUACGGGAGGCUGCAGCAACGAAUCUUCUGCAAUGGGCGAAAGCCUGACAGAGCGACGCCGCGUGCGGGAGGAAGGCCUUCGGGUUGUAAACCGCUGUCAGGCCCUAGAAAGCAGGGCGUGAAAGCGCCACUGCCUGAGAAGGCGCAGAGGAAGUCACGGCUAACUCGUGCCAGCAGCCGCGGUAAGACGAGGUGGCAAGCGUUGUUCGGAAUCACUGGGCGUAAAGCGCGCGUAGGCGGCCGGGUAAGUCGGAUGUGAAAUCCCCCGGCUCAACCGGGGAACUGCGGGCGAUACUGCGUCGGCUUGAGGCUCGGUAGGGGGGAACGGAAUUCCCGGUGGAGCGGUGAAAUGCGUAGAUAUCGGGAGGAACUCCGGUGGCGAAGGCGGUGCCCUGGGCCGAGUCCUGACGCUGAGGCGCGAAAGCGUAGGGGAGCAAACGGGAUUAGAUACCCCGGUAGUCCUACGCCGUAAACGAUGGGCACUAGGCAGAGGUGGUUCCUGAUGCCGUCUUUGCCGAAGCGAACGCGUUAAGUGCGCCGCCUGGGGAGUACGGCCGCAAGGCUAAAACUCAAAGGAAUUGACGGGGGCUCACACAAGCGGUGGAGCAUGUUGCUUAAUUCGAAGCAACGCGAAGAACCUUACCCGGGUUUGACAUGCACGGAUGUAGCUCGGGGAAACCAGGCGACGCCCUUCGGGAGGAAGCGUGCACAGGUGUUGCAUGGCUGUCGUCAGCUCGUGCUCGUGAGAGUGUCGGGUUAAGUCCCUUAACGAGCGAAACCCCUUGCCGCUAGUUGCUACGGGUCAUGCCGAGGACUCUAGCGGGACUGCCGGUGUCAAACCGGAGGAAGGUGGGGACGACGUCAAGUCAUCAUGGCCCUUACGCCCGGGGCUGCAAACGUGCUACAAUGGCGCGUACAAAGCGUGCGAAGCCGCGAGGCAGAGCCAAUCGCAAAAAGCGCGCCCCAGUUCGGAUUGGAGGCUGCAACCCGCCUCCAUGAAGCCGGAAUCGCUAGUAAUCGCGGAUCAGCCAUGCCGCGGUGAAUAUGUUCCUGAGCCUUGUACACACCGCCCGUCAAGCCACGGGAGCUGGGAGCGCCCGAAGUCGCUCACCAACCGUCAGGGUAGCGCCGACGGCGAGCCCGGUGACUGGGACUAAGUCGUAACAAGGUAGCCGUAGGAGAACCUGCGGCUGGAUCACCUCCUUU
rnacentral:rRNA from 1 species